GGAACACAUAACUGAGCUACUCCAGCAGCGACUGGCCCAUCACACAGACACACCAUCAGGUUGUGAUUCCUCAAGAAUCUUGCCAAUUGCCUGCACCAGUCUGAGCCCACCAGCUCUCUCAUCAAGCUCCCGCUUUACAUACAGCCUGUAUGUGAACCUUUAUCACUGAUGGAGAAAUUGAAGCACAGAUCAGUCGGUUUCUAGUUGUCUUAUGUGGCUAUUCAUCACUUCCUACGCCAGAACAAACUUUUAAAGAUGACUUAUUCCACAUUUUGUCUCUCCAACAGCAAGACUUAUGUACAUAUGUAUUACUCCAGGUCUCUGCCUGCUGGAGGCACUGCUUUCUGUCCCUGUGGCUGUAACACAUAGCACAGCACCCAAUAGGUAUACAAUAAAUGUUUUUAAAGACAGAGGCUUUAUUAUUUGGUUCAUAAAUAUUCACUUUUCUUUUU
rnacentral:lncRNA from 1 species